CUGAAAUGAUGAGAUUCCACUUCAUUGGUCCGUGUUUCUGAAACACGUGCUGACAGCGGAAGCUCUGACUAG
rfam:Balearica pavonina gibbericeps contig24498, whole genome shotgun sequence.